rnacentral:rRNA from 1 species
GACGAACGCUGGCGGCGUGCUUAACACAUGCAAGUCGAACGGAAAGGCCCUGCUUUUGUGGGGUGCUCGAGUGGCGAACGGGUGAGUAACACGUGAGUAACCUGCCCUUGACUUUGGGAUAACUUCAGGAAACUGGGGCUAAUACCGGAUAGGAGCUCCUGCUGCAUGGUGGGGGUUGGAAAGUUUCGGCGGUUGGGGAUGGACUCGCGGCUUAUCAGCUUGUUGGUGGGGUAGUGGCUUACCAAGGCUUUGACGGGUAGCCGGCCUGAGAGGGUGACCGGCCAACUUGGGAAUGAGAAACGGGCCAGACUCCUACGGGAGGCAGCAGUGGGGAAUAUUGCACAAUGGGCGGAAGCCUGAUGCAGCAACGCCGCGUGCGGGAUGACGGCCUUCGGGUUGUAAACCGCUUUCGCCUGUGACGAAGCGUGAGUGACGGUAAUGGGUAAAGAAGCACCGGCUAACUACGUG